rnacentral:rRNA from 1 species
GUGGGGAAUAUUGGACAAUGGGCGCAAGCCUGAUCCAGCAACGCCGCGUGAGGGAUGACGGCCUUCGGGUUGUAAACCUCUUUCAGCAGGGACGAAGCGAAAGUGACGGUACCUGCAGAAGAAGGACCGGCCAACUACGUGCCAGCAGCCGCGGUAAUACGUAGGGUCCGAGCGUUGUCCGGAAUUAUUGGGCGUAAAGGGCUCGUAGGCGGUCUGUCGCGUCGGGAGUGAAAACUCAGGGCUCAACCCUGAGCGUGCUUCCGAUACGGGCAGACUAGAGGUAUGCAGGGGAGAACGGAAUUCCUGGUGUAGCGGUGGAAUGCGCAGAUAUCAGGAGGAACACCGGUGGCGAAGGCGGUUCUCUGGGCAUUACCUGACGCUGAGGAGCGAAAGCAUGGGGAGCGAACAGGAUUAGAUACCCGUGUAGUCC